GGAGCCGAGCAGAACGCUUUCACAAGCUACACCCGUAGAAGGCGCAGGAUUACAGCAGUGGACGGGGGUUCAAUUCCCCCCAUCUCCACCA
rnacentral:tRNA from 1 species